rnacentral:rRNA from 1 species
AUUGAACGCUGGCGGCAGGCCUAACACAUGCAAGUCGAACGAGUGGCGGACGGGUGAGUAAUGUCUGGGAAACUGCCUGAUGGAGGGGGAUAACUACUGGAAACGGUAGCUAAUACCGCAUACCAUGGGAUGUGCCCCGAUGGGCUUAGCUAGUAGGUGGGGUAAAGGCUCACCUAGGAGACGAUCCCUAGCUGGUCGGAGAGGAUGACCGGCCACCCUGGAACUGAGACACGGUCCAGACUCCUACGUGAGGCAGCAGUGGGGAAUAUUGCACAACGGGCGCAAGCCUGAUGCAGCCAUGCCGCGUGUAUGAAGAAGGCCUUCGGGGUGUAAAGUACUUUCAGCGGGGAGGCGUUACCCGCAGAAGAAGCACCGGCUAACUCCGUGCCAGCAGCCGCGGUAAUAC